rnacentral:tRNA from 1 species
GGGUCUAUAGCUCAGUUGGCAGAGCAUGCGGUUCAUACCCGCAGUGUCAGAGGUUCGAAUCCUCUUAGACCCA